rnacentral:rRNA from 1 species
AACACGUGGGCAACCUGCCUGUAAGUUGGGGAUAACUCCGGGAAACCGGGGCUAAUACCGAAUGAUAAAGUGUGGCGCAUGCCACGCUUUUGAAAGAUGGUUUCGGCUAUCGCUUACAGAUGGGCCCGCGGUGCAUUAGCUAGUUGGUAGGGUAAUGGCCUACCAAGGCAACGAUGCAUAGCCGACCUGAGAGGGUGAUCGGCCACACUGGGACUGAGACACGGCCCAGACUCCUACGGGAGGCAGCAGUAGGGAAUCUUCCGCAAUGGACGAAAGUCUGACGGAGCAACGCCGCGUGUAUGAAGAAGGUUUUCGGAUCGUAAAGUACUGUUGUUAGAGAAGAACAAGGAUAAGAGUAACUGCUUGUCCCUUGACGGUAUCUAACCAGAAAGCCACGGCUAACUACGUGCCAGCAGCCGCGGUAAUACGUAGGUGGCAAGCGUUGUCCGGAUUUAUUGGGCGUAAAGCGCGCGCAGGCGGUCUUUUAAGUCUGAUGUGAAAGCCCCCGGCUUAACCGGGGAGGGUCAUUGGA